CUCAGGCUCUGACUUUAUUUCUAUGUAAGAUAGGUUUUCAGAGAUUCUUAAAAUUGUUAUCAUGGAAAAACUAAGCUGCUCUUUGUAUCCCAUGUCAUUUCAGUUGGAAGGGCAGAAAUCUUGAUUCUCACUUGAUCUUGAAAGAGACAAUAAAACUAGCAACAAAACUAACAGAAGCCAUUUCCUGGAUACGUUUCUGGUGUUGGGUUGAGAGUGGAAAAUAUUUUCUGAUUUUUUAAAAUAAAAUAUUCAUAACAAUAGUGGCAUGAUGAAAUUGUUUUGAUUAUAUUUUUGAAUAUUGAAGAUUGAUAAUAACGUCUAAAUGUUGGUUAAAUCAAUGAUAUGAAGUUUAAUACUUGAGAUAACUGUGAAGGUGAGGGAAGUCAUUUUCCUCCUCUAGUGAAAAAUGUUUUCCUUGGAAAAUAUUUUCUGGCUAUUAGACCCUGAAGAUGACUUAUUUUCUGGAAAAUAUCCUCUGAAAAAUAUUGUUCAUCAUACCAAAGUAUGCCUGGAAUGUCUCCAAGAAACUGACAAUUGUAAUUUUUUCGUACUUUAUUAUGUCCCUUUCUCCUAAGGUAAGAGAUUGAGACGAGCUCGCUUGCAUGAGUUAAGCAUAUUCCUAUUGACAACCACCUCUGAGAACUCACCCGUAUCUCUACUUUUUUAUUCUCAGUUGUUUACUUUAUGAACUUUGGUAGGAAGGAGGGAUCUGUGCCGUCUGGAUUUGGUUCUAGUAUUAAUCUAUUUGCUGGAGCUUCCCUAGAAAAGAACUGAAAGGGAAUGUCAUAGUCAAGGAGAAAAGACAGCUGCUUAAAAUAUGGAGAGUAUGCAGAGAAGACAAGAGGGUAUCUCACAGACAAAGCUACAGACAAGACCUCCUAGAUAUUCUUUUUUUUUCCCUAUCCUUGCAACCUCUAGAAUUUCUGUAUCUUUCACAUUAAAGUUUAAUAAAUUCCUAAAAUACACACUUGCUCAAGCUAACAAAUAUAACUUACUAGCUGGUGCCUUGCUAUCUAAGCUUGCAGCAAUGGUAGUUCCUCUUGUCUCCUUGUUUUACAACUUUUUCCUCUUUGUCAUACUUUCGUCCUCCAACGUAAAUGCUCAAACAUCUAGCACAGACACAGACUUUUCGUGCUCGUUAAACUCUUCCUUUUCUUGUGAUACUUAUGUUUCAUAUCGUGCCCGUCAGCCAUAUUAUUUUGAUGUCGGAAGUAUCUCUGAUCUUCUUGAAGUCAGUCGUUUAAGUAUAGCUAAGGCCACAGGUCUAGCCUCAGAGGAUACCGAGCUAUUCCCUGACCAGAUUUUACUCGUACCCGUUAAAUGCUUCUGCAAUAGUUCUCAAUAUUUCUCCAACGUCACCUAUCAGAUCAAGAAAGGUGACAGCUUUUAUUCUGUUUCUAUAGGAGCUUUUGAGAACCUUACCAACUAUCAUGUGGUGCAAGAUAUGAAUCCAACACUAGAUCCAACCAACUUGACAGUUGGUGCAGAAGCAGUUUUUCCUUUGUUCUGUAAAUGCCCCACACAGUCUGAUCUUGAAAUGGGACUUCAGUACCUUGUCACUUAUGUGUGGCAGCCUUGGGAUGAUAUAUUGCCUGUAAGCAAUAUGUUUGGAGCAUCUGCAGCUGACAUUCUGGCUGCCAACAAUUACAGAAAUUUCACUGCUGCAAUAUGUUCUCCUGUCUUGAUACCGGUAAAACUUCCUACUAUUCUGCAAUCUUACCCCUCUUCUGCAAGCAGAAGAAAAUCCAAACAUGAAUGGAUCCUCAUUACUGUUUUAAGUAUUAUGGGGUUGCUUGCAGUUUUUUCAUUUUGCUUGUUUGUAUACAUGCGUCUUUUAGAUGAGAAGAGGAGGGCUAAUUUAGCCCGUAACUCUUCUAUUCUUGAAACUUCUGAUCUCUUUCAUACCAAGAAAGCCUCCGAAGGUGAAAUUAUGGACCAUAAGAACAUUCAAGAUAAGCUUCUUCCUGGAGUUUCUGGCUAUAUUGGAAAGCCAAUAAUAUAUGACCUGAAGAUCAUCAUGGAGGCGACUCUUGACCUCAGUGAGAAGUACAGGAUAGGAGGAUCCGUGUACAAGGCUACACUUAACGACCAAGUUGUAGCUGUCAAGAAAACUAAACAAGCCUCGGAAGAAUUGACUAUACUUCAAAAACUACAUCAUGGAAAUCUGGUGAAACUAGAGGGCAUUUCAUCAGACGAUCAUGAGAAUUCCUAUUUGGUUUAUGAAUAUGCUGAAAAUGGCUCACUGGAUCAAUGGUUGUUUCCCGGAUCAUCAUCGACUUCUUCUGCCUCUGGCUCAGUGGUAUCGCUUGGUUGGAGCCAACGAUUACACGUAGCCUUGGAUGUUGCAAACGCUCUGCAAUACCUGCAUGAACAUACUCAACCUAGUAUAGUUCACGGGGACAUCCGAACGUGUAGCAUACUUCUUGAUUCAAGGUUUAAAGCCAAAAUUGCAGGUUUCUCUACAGCCAGACAUGCUACCAACUCAAUGAUGCUGAAAGUUGACGUGUUUGCUUUCGGGCUUGUGCUGUUGGAGUUGCUUUCAGGGAAGAAAGCAAUGGAAUCAAAAGAUUAUAAUGAUGAGACUCUGAUCAUGUGCAAAGAAAUUAAUGAAAUUUUGGAAAUUGAAAAUAACAGAGAGGAGAAGUUUAAAAGGUGGAUGGAUCCGAUGCUGAACUUUUACCCUGUUGAUGAUGCUCUAAACUUGGCUGCCUUGGCGAAGGUGUGCACAUCGGAGAAAUCAGCAGAGAGGCCUAAGAUGACAGAUAUUGUCUUCAACCUUUGUUUUCUUGCUCAAUCAUCUUUUGAAAUGUAUGGAAGGUCUUGGACUUCAGGUGAAGCUGAGGAGAUUGUUCAGAUUGUUAGUCCACUAAUAGCACGUUGAGUUAAAGAUGUUGCGUAAAUAUAGUCCAAGAACUUUUGUCAGUUCGUCUCAAAUUUGUAACAUAUUCUGGAUUAUAAAGCAAGAGGAACAGCUGAUCUCCAGAAUAUAUUGCAAAUUCGAGUUCUGGUGUCCAUCUUUUCCCUGUAUUUCUCUCGCAAAAAAUACAGGAGAGUACAGAUGCCUUUCCUUCCUUGUUAAGUCAAACAAAUAAAGGAGAAAGGAAAAAGGCCUAUAAACAAUCUUUAGUGAAGUUCCUCCUUCCCAAUCUCUCCUACAACAGCAGUUUUGUCAAAGGAUGGAGUAGGCAUACUGACUACUCUUAAUCGGCGUGGACGGAGAAAAAGUAGUAGCUAAAUGAAAGAUAAAGGCACUGGGGGAGAACUAACGAAGGAUAUGGUAUAGAUUGACAGAAGCUAAAACAUAAUUGUCUAAAGACUCCAUAAGCAUCCAAAGUUGUCUACGCAUUGAUAGUGAAAAGGUAAAACAUAAUUACGUAAGUAUAUUUACAAAGCCAAGAGCAAUUCAUCUGAGCCAGCAAAUGUGUAUUUAGUUAUGCCACAACUGCGUAAAUUUUUAUCUGCCUGUUAUUGUCAUGUUGGGCUAAUUCUGUUAUCAAUAUUGACUGAUCUGUUGAUAGACUAUAAGUAGGCCACUUGCUAUUGCAUAAUAUUGCUCGCCUUUAUACAUAGCUUGCUACGCUAGGGGCACAGCUACCGUACAAGGUAGGAGUAUGA